rfam:Listeria monocytogenes EGD-e, complete genome
UGUAAAAAACAUCAUUUAGCGUGACUUUCUUUCAACAGCUAACAAUUGUUGUUACUGCCUAAUGUUUUUAGGGUAUUUUAAAAAAGGGCGAUAAAAAACGAUUGGGGGAUGAGACAUGAACGCUCAAGCA